rnacentral:rRNA from 1 species
AUACGGAGGGGGUUAGCGUUGUUUGGAAUUACUGGGCGUAAAGCGCACGUAGGCGGACUGGAAAGUUGGGGGUGAAAUCCCGGGGCUCAACCCCGGAACUGCCUCCAAAACUUCCAAUCUAGAGAUCGAGAGAGGUGAGUGGAAUUCCAAGUGUAGAGGUGAAAUUCGUAGAUAUUUGGAGGAACACCAGUGGCGAAGGCGGCUCACUGGCUCGAUACUGACGCUGAGGUGCGAAAGCGUGGGGAGCAAACAGGAUUAGAAACCCUAGUAGUCC